GGUGGGGGGGUUGGGGCGGGACCGGGCGCGUGACUUCUCGGGCGUUGCCGCCGCCUGCUCGCAGGGUGACGUCAGUGCGGGCAGCAGCAGGGUGGGGGUGGGGAAGAACUAUCCCAGCAGCUUGGGUGGAAUGCUUAAUUGCGUCUAAGGUUAAUUAAAUUGCGGGAAAGGUGGUUGCAAGCUAUGAUAAAGCAAGACUUUUGUAUGGUACACAUGCAUAUAGAAUGAAUGUGUGUAUGUAAUGUUUAUGGUUGAAGAGCGCCCAGUACAGUUAAGUGAUUUUAGAAAACAUUUUUGCUUUUGGGUGUGGUAUAGUGAGAAAAAAUAUUUUUAAGCUGCAUUUCUCUGCGACAGUGUAUGGUGGAGUUCAAGGCGUGGGUUUAAUGACCACUGGGGGAGCCAGGCUGGCUGUCUACUUGGGGUGGGGUCCAGCACAGGUCCAAAAGCAAACGUUGUCCACAAACAAGGGCUUAGUGAGGGUUUUGAAAAGGGGAAUUGUCACCGCCCAUGUCAGUGAGGAGCUCGGACAGUCUGACAACCCCCCACCCCCACCCCACCCCGCCAUGAAGCAUCUACUCAGCUCUUCUGCCACCUGCCUCCACAUCCCCCCCCCCCCAUACUCCCCAAAAUAAAAAAGCUGGUUCAAGCACGCAGAAUGAAAAAGGCAGCUGGCAGAAUUAACUGCCCGGAAGUCUCCUCCCAGGCUCGACACCCACUCUACAAACAAAACCACCCAGUGACAACAGGCUCCCUUAGCAACCCGGAGGAGGGAAGGAGGGGGUUGUUUUCCGGCCUCUAGCAUAUGGAAUCUGCAAGCAAGGCCCGGCCUAGACUGCACCCUCCCGUUCCCGGAAAACUGGUGACUCUCUCUCUCAUGUGACCAGCACAGAGGGUGAUUAUGUGGCAAGUGCUGGCUUGCUCACCGGUUCUUAUGCCACGUAGAUUCCUGCGCCUCACCCUUCUCCAAGGGCUAACCUAAUCAGCCUUUUAUUUAUCUUUCUUUCUUUUUAAUUCCAGAAAGGGUCUCAUUUUGUCUCAUACUGGCCUGUACUUCUUGGCUCAUCCUCCUGCCUCAACCUUUUUAGUGCUGGGAUUACAUUACCACUAUGUCCGCCUGGCAUCAGUUCCAAGUGUCGGUGGUGGGUGGCGGUGACUGCCUGCAAGAACAGGGAGUUGCUUGUUAAAAUGUUCUAGAAUGCCAGGAGGCGGCUAUGAAAGCAGGAGGGAGGGAGGGGCUCCCUGUGGCGGGCCUAGCCUGUGGAGUCAGUCUUUUCUGACUUUGAGGUGCUUAGGCAAUUGUUCAACCACCUUCAAUUUCCCUUCAUAUUAUUCUUCAGUCCCAGGAACAGCUUUUGAGACUUUUUUUUUUUUGAAUUAGUAGGAACAGGGUUAAUUGGUAACACACCAAGCCUAGGGCUGUGUAAAGCUAGGUCGCCUGGUCACGCACAGAUGAAGCAUUUGUGUGCUCACAAGUCUGCAGCAGCCCAGGGACUGUCUCCAGUUCUCAAGGGCAAGAUGGCAGUGUCAGAGGCUCCUGGCCUUCAAGGACAGUUUUCUUUGGAAACAAUGUAUUUGAGGGGAGAGGUGAGGAGGCCUUAGGGCCGAGGCUGUGCCCACCCUUCGCUGGUGGACAUACCCAGAGUUUCUUCCUUCACACAGAGGACCUCCAUCCCACUGAAGGACUAGGGCAGAGCAGCAACUCCCCCAAUCAAAAAAGCUGUUCCAGGAGAUUGUGGUAAACAGGUCUGUGGGUGGGGCUGAGGGGUGACAGCCAGAGGAGCCUGCCUGGUUUCUAAGGCAUGCCCCUUCCCAGCUAUGGGAUUCUGGGAUGGAGGGCAAAGAGCAAAAUGGGGUUCUCUUUGUGAUGUCCGAUUAAAGGGGGAGCACGCUCCAAUUUCUUUCUCAGGGACCUGGCAGCCCCCCACUGGCCUCAUCUUCUUUGGAAGUCAGCUCAGCCCUGUUGUUUCCAGACCCAGGCAGACUCAGAAUUUCCUACAAAAUCUCUUGGAAUAGAGAGAAGGGACGAAGUGCCCUAAAGGCAGGGCCAUGCCAGUAUUGCUACCACAAGAGAAUAUUCUGGAACUCCAGCCCCCAUCCUCCAUGGAUCCAGUUUCUAGGCUGUAGUGUUUUUAGGUUCCCUUGUGCUUCUCCUGGUGCCAGAGGCCCCUCUGCCCGGGCUCCUUCACACUGAGCCCUGAGACAUGCGGGUCAGGAAACUGCACAGUCACUGCGCAUUGGCAGGAAGCCUUCCCAUCCGCACUCACUGCCCUGGCAGGAGCUGGAACCGAUAAAGAAGCCCUGCCCCAAAUUUGCCAGGCUCUUCUGGUGGGAAGGGGCCCAUCUCUCACCCUUCCCCCACUGUUGCAAAAAUCUGGAAGUGAACUCUUUUUAUGAAAACAGAUCUCACCCAGUGGCUCCCUGUCUCCCUACAAUCAUAAGCUCUUGUAGGCCAGGGCUGCAAAGUCACCUCUCAAGGGAGCUCUAGCAAUAAGUCAGUCUGUCCCAUCCCUCCCCCAACUUGAUUUGUGGGGGCAGGGUUUCUGUCUAGUGUGUCCUAGAUCUCUGAGCCCACAGCUCUGGCAAGACGUGGGCACCAGCGUGGAUGACUUCAGCUUAUAUUUUCUAAAGGUCACUCUGAAUCCUGCGGGCUCUUGGUAAAUAUUUGUGGACUGACUCAAACAAGGAGCUCAGCUCUGCUGCAGUGCAUGUGAGCCCGAGGACUGGGGUGGUGGCGGCGGCGGCGGGUCGGAGGGUGCUCUGAGGACCAGAUGGCCAAAGCUCCAAACAUCGCUGCUGCCACAGCUUGCAGUGGGGGAAGUACAGGUUCCUCCCAGACAGAAGUGAGCCCAAGUCUUCCCAGACCUGGUUCCUAUGGAGACCUGGAGACCGGUCCCCAGGAGCUACCAGAUGAGAUUUUACUGGGGUGAAGACCUGAGGCUAUACCAUGGGCACACAGGACACGUGUGGUUACCAUACUCUGGCUAUUCCAUAUUAUAACCAUUCCAAAGUGUGCUAGGUGAUGAUUUUAUUAAGUCCAGUGAUAGGAAAGACUGGGAACACUCAAGACAUUUAUUUAGUAAAACAGUGCUCUGUCCUAGAGGGUUAAGGCACAUGUGGUAAUUAAAAAACUCAAAGGCUCAAA